rnacentral:rRNA from 1 species
UGGGGAAUAUUGCACAAUGGAGGGAACUCUGAUGCAGCGACGCCGCGUGAACGAAGAAGGCUUUCGAGUCGUAAAGUUCUUUUAUAUGGGAAGAUAAUGACGGUACCAUAAGAAAAAGCCCCGGCUAACUACGUGCCAGCAGCCGCGGCAAUACGUAGGGGGCUAGCGUUGUCCGGAAUCACUGGGCGUAAAGGGUUCGCAGGCGGAAAUGCAAGUCAGGUGUAAAAGGCAGUAGCUUAACUACUGUAAGCAUUUGAAACUGCAUAUCUUGAGAUGAGUAGAGGUAAGUGGGAUUUUUAGUGUAGCGGUGAAAUGCGUAGAUAUUAAAAAGAAUACCGGUGGCGAAGGCGACUUACUGGGCUCAUUCUGACGCUGAGGAACGAAAGCGUGGGUAGCAAACAGG